CAGCUCAUCACAAGGACAAUUCCAACCACAUCCAAUCAGGUCUCAGAUUUCUGAGGUGAGGGUCCACAGAAAGAGAACUGAUGUCUGCCAGUGGAAAAGAAUGAUGCUAAUGAAGAUACAAAUGGAAGUUCAGAACCACCAUAAAGCAUGCUAGCAAAUCACAACAAAGACCGGGGGUUGGCAGCAAGGAACAGGCAGGGCAGCUGCUGGUAUGACGUCAGCAGCGGGAGCGGGACCUACCAGCCCCUACAGUGCAGAUGAGGUUCUCAGUGUUGACAGCGGCCAGGGCCUUUGCGAACAAGCCAGGCCAGAAAGGUUCGACAUUGGCAUCAGCUGCUUUAACGAGGGUCCUGAU
rnacentral:lncRNA from 1 species